rnacentral:rRNA from 1 species
UACGUAGGGGGCUAGCGUUGUCCGGAUUUAUUGGGCGUAAAGAGCGUGUAGGCGGCCAGGUAGGUCUGCUGUGAAAACUCGAGGCUCAACCUCGAGACGCCGGUGGAAACCGUAAAGCUAGAGUCCGGAAGAGGAGAGUGGAAUUCCUGGUGUAGCGGUGAAAUGCGCAGAUAUCAGGAAGAACACCCGUGGCGAAGGCGGCUCGCUGGGACGGUACUGACGCUGAGACGCGAAAGCGUGGGGAGCGAACAGG